GACGAACGCUGGCGGCGUGCCUAAUACAUGCAAGUAGAACGCUGAAGAGAGGAGCUUGCUCUUCUUGGAUGAGUUGCGAACGGGUGAGUAACGCGUAGGUAACCUGCCUUGUAGCGGGGGAUAACUAUUGGAAACGAUAGCUAAUACCGCAUAACAAUGGAUGACACAUGUCAUUUAUUUGAAAGGGGCAAUUGCUCCACUACAAGAUGGACCUGCGUUGUAUUAGCUAGUAGGUGAGGUAACGACUCACCUAGGCGACGAUACAUACCGACCUGAGAGGGUGAUCGGCCACACUGGGACUGAGACACGGCCCAGACUCCUACGGGAGGCAGCAGUAGGGAAUCUUCGGCAAUGGGGGCAACCCUGACCGAGCAACGCCGCGUGAGUGAAGAAGGUUUUCGGAUCGUAAAGCUCUGUUGUAAGUCAAGAACGAGUGUGAGAGUGGAAAGUUCACACUGUGACGGUAGCUUACCAGAAAGAGACGGCUAACUACGUG
rnacentral:rRNA from 1 species